GCCUGCCUAAAGAUUUCUGAUGCUUAAUCCUCCUCUGUCUCCCUUGCUGUCUUUCUCUGUCAUUGUAUCUCUUGGCAUCUCAGUUCCACGUCUUCUGUUUCUCUCUCUUUCUCCACCUAUUUUCCCUUCAGAAGCAUUUUCACCCCAAUGUCUCUGUAUGUUCCUUGCAGCAUUCCCUCUGGAAUACAUCAGCACUGUUGCCUUUGAGGCUGGCCUGCUUGAAUGCACACCUGAGCUCCGGAUUCACAGCAAUUUCUUGGAUGAUUCACAGUGGAGGAAGCCAGAUGCCAUGUCAUGAGGGUGCUCAAGCAACUUUUUGGAGAUGUAUGUAUGGAGAGAAACUGAGGCCUCCUGCCAACAGCCAGCACUAACUUGGCAAGCAUGUUUGAGAGCCACCUGGGAAGUGGAGCCUUCAGCCCCAGUUAAGCCUUCAGAUGAGACUGCAGUCCUGGCCACCAUCUGGACUGCAACUUCACAAGAGCUCCUAAGCCAGAGCCAUGCAGAUGGAUUCUUGGCCCCCAGAAAUUGUGCCACUACAUUUUGGGAAAUUUAUUAUGCAGCCAUAGAUUACCAAUACACUCACUAUUUCUUUUUUCUGAUGCCAUAC
rnacentral:lncRNA from 1 species